GGUGUUUCUGCAACAAAAACGGAAAAAGAACUCACUCAUUUUGUUUUUUUUUUUUGUAUUUUUGCGCCAGUAUUGCUUUUGCUUAGCAUUGUUUUGAUUUUUUUCAUCUAGAGUGCCGUUAUAAAAGCGCCACGCUGCACUUUUUGUUUUGCCUUUUACGCUCUUGGCGAAUUUGUUGUGUGAACAUCUGCCGUUUUCGCCCUCUCUAUUCACCUUCCAACAUCUUAUGUUUGUCUUCACACUUACAUUCUAGGCGUAAAUUUGGAAGUGCACAUGCAAAACGGCAAAAAAAAAAUCGACAGCGGAGAUAAAGAGGAGGAAGACAACGAAAUAAUUUGUAAGAAAGGAAUGUGUAAAUCAAAGCGGAAUAGGCGACGAAUGGAAUGUCGACCACAUUUGCAUUGUCAUUUAAGUUGAGAAACUGGACUGCCAAACCUGACACAUAAUAAAUAAAGGAUACAUAUGUAUGUACAUAUGUACUUUAUGAACUAA